rnacentral:rRNA from 1 species
GACGAAGGUGGCUAGCGUUGUUCGGAAUUACUGGGCUUAAAGAGUACGUAGGCGGGUUGUCAAGCGUCUUGUGAAGGCCCUCGGCUCAACCGAGGAAUUGCUCGGCGAACUGACAGUCUUGAGGCAAUCAGGGGCACAUAGAACUCUUGGUGGAGCGGUGAUAUGCGUAGAUAUCAAGAGGAAUGCCGGUGGCGAAGGCGGUGUGCUGGGAUUGUCCUGACGCUGAGGUACGAAAGCCAGGGGAGCGAACGGG